CCCUUAGAUGUCCUGGGCCGCACGCGCGUUACACUGAUGCAUUCGACGAGCUUAUAACCUUGGCCGAGAGGCCUGGGCAAUCUUGUUAACGUGCAUCGUGAUAGGGAUAGAUUAUUGAAAUUAUUAAUCUUGAACGAGGAGUUCCUAGUAAACGCAGAUCAUCAAUCUGCAUUGAUUACGUCCCUGCCCUUUGUACACACCGCCCGUCGCACCUACCGAUUGGAUGGUCCGGUGAAGCCUCGGGAUUGUGGUUCUUGCCGCUUUAUUGUGGCGUGACCGCGAGAACUUGUCUAAACCUUAUCAUCUAGAGGAAGGUGAAGUCGUAACA
rnacentral:rRNA from 1 species